GGGUUGUGAGGUUAAGCGACUAAGCGUACACGGUGGAUGCCCUGGCAGUCAGAGGCGAUGAAGGGCGUGCUAAUCUGCGAUAAGCGCCGGUAAGGUGAUAUGAACCGUUAUAACCGGCGAUACCCGAAUGGGGAAACCCAGUGUGAUUCGUCACACUAUCAUUAACUGAAUCCAUAGGUUAAUGAGGCGAACCGGGGGAACUGAAACAUCUAAGUACCCCGAGGAAAAGAAAUCAACCGAGAUUCCCCCAGUAGCGGCGAGCGAACGGGGAGGAGCCCAGAGCCUGAAUCAGCAUGUGUGUUAGUGGAAGCGUCUGGAAAGGCGCGCGAUACAGGGUGACAGCCCCGUACACAAAAGCGCAUGUGCUGUGAGCUCGAUGAGUAGGGCGGGACACGUGGUAUCCUGUCUGAAUAUGGGGGGACCAUCCUCCAAGGCUAAAUACUCCUGACUGACCGAUAGUGAACCAGUACCGUGAGGGAAAGGCGAAAAGAACCCCGGCGAGGGGAGUGAAAAAGAACCUGAAACCGUGUACGUACAAGCAGUGGGAGCCCCACCACCAAAGCAUUCUCUGGUGUUGAAGGCCCUGCAAAGCAGCAUCGCGGUGGCGGAGCGUCGUUUGCGACGCCCAACACACAAAACAAGCGGUGAGUGCUUUGGGGUGGGGUGACUGCGUACCUUUUGUAUAAUGGGUCAGCGACUUAUAUUCUGUAGCAAGGUUAACCGAAUAGGGGAGCCGGAGGGAAACCGAGUCUUAAUUGGGCGUUAAGUUGCAGGGUAUAGACCCGAAACCCGGUGAUCUAGCCAUGGGCAGGUUGAAGGUUGGGUAACACUAACUGGAGGACCGAACCGACUAAUGUUGAAAAAUUAGCGGAUGACCUGUGGCUGGGGGUGAAAGGCCAAUCAAACCGGGAGAUAGCUGGUUCUCCCCGAAAGCUAUUUAGGUAGCGCCUCGUGAAUUCAUCUCCGGGGGUAGAGCACUGUUUCGGCUAGGGGGCCAUCCCGGCUUACCAACCCGAUGCAAACUGCGAAUACCGGAGAAUGUUAUCACGGGAGACACACGGCGGGUGCUAACGUCCGUCGUGAAGAGGGAAACAACCCAGACCGCCAGCUAAGGUCCCAAAGUCAUGGUUAAGUGGGAAACGAUGUGGGAAGGCCCAGACAGCCAGGAUGUUGGCUUAGAAGCAGCCAUCAUUUAAAGAAAGCGUAAUAGCUCACUGGUCGAGUCGGCCUGCGCGGAAGAUGUAACGGGGCUAAACCAUGCACCGAAGCUGCGGCAGCGACGCUGAUGCGUUGUUGGGUAGGGGAGCGUUCUGUAAGCCUGCGAAGGUGGCCUGUGAGGGUUGCUGGAGGUAUCAGAAGUGCGAAUGCUGACAUAAGUAACGAUAAAGCGGGUGAAAAGCCCGCUCGCCGGAAGACCAAGGGUUCCUGUCCAACGUUAAUCGGGGCAGGGUGAGUCGACCCCUAAGGCGAGGCCGAAAGGCGUAGUCGAUGGGAAACGGGUUAAUAUUCCCGUACUUGGUGUUACUGCGAAGGGGGGACGGAGAAGGCUAUGUUGGCCGGGCGACGGUUGUCCCGGUUUAAGCGUGUAGGUGUGUGUUCCAGGUAAAUCCGGUUCACUUUAACACUGAGGCGUGACGACGAGGCACUACGGUGCUGAAGCAACAAAUGCCCUGCUUCCAGGAAAAGCCUCUAAGCAUCAGGUAACAUCAAAUCGUACCCCAAACCGACACAGGUGGUCAGGUAGAGAAUACCAAGGCGCUUGAGAGAACUCGGGUGAAGGAACUAGGCAAAAUGGUGCCGUAACUUCGGGAGAAGGCACGCUGACACGUAGGUGAAGUGAUUUACUCAUGGAGCUGAAGUCAGUCGAAGAUACCAGCUGGCUGCAACUGUUUAUUAAAAACACAGCACUGUGCAAACACGAAAGUGGACGUAUACGGUGUGACGCCUGCCCGGUGCCGGAAGGUUAAUUGAUGGGGUCAGCGCAAGCGAAGCUCCUGAUCGAAGCCCCGGUAAACGGCGGCCGUAACUAUAACGGUCCUAAGGUAGCGAAAUUCCUUGUCGGGUAAGUUCCGACCUGCACGAAUGGCGUAAUGAUGGCCAGGCUGUCUCCACCCGAGACUCAGUGAAAUUGAACUCGCUGUGAAGAUGCAGUGUACCCGCGGCAAGACGGAAAGACCCCGUGAACCUUUACUAUAGCUUGACACUGAACAUUGAGCCUUGAUGUGUAGGAUAGGUGGGAGGCUUUGAAGUGUGGACGCCAGUCUGCAUGGAGCCGACCUUGAAAUACCACCCUUUAAUGUUUGAUGUUCUAACGUGGACCCGUAAUCCGGGUUGCGGACAGUGUCUGGUGGGUAGUUUGACUGGGGCGGUCUCCUCCUAAAGAGUAACGGAGGAGCACGAAGGUUGGCUAAUCCUGGUCGGACAUCAGGAGGUUAGUGCAAUGGCAUAAGCCAGCUUGACUGCGAGCGUGACGGCGCGAGCAGGUGCGAAAGCAGGUCAUAGUGAUCCGGUGGUUCUGAAUGGAAGGGCCAUCGCUCAACGGAUAAAAGGUACUCCGGGGAUAACAGGCUGAUACCGCCCAAGAGUUCAUAUCGACGGCGGUGUUUGGCACCUCGAUGUCGGCUCAUCACAUCCUGGGGCUGAAGUAGGUCCCAAGGGUAUGGCUGUUCGCCAUUUAAAGUGGUACGCGAGCUGGGUUUAGAACGUCGUGAGACAGUUCGGUCCCUAUCUGCCGUGGGCGCUGGAGAACUGAGGGGGGCUGCUCCUAGUACGAGAGGACCGGAGUGGACGCAUCACUGGUGUUCGGGUUGUCAUGCCAAUGGCACUGCCCGGUAGCUAAAUGCGGAAGAGAUAAGUGCUGAAAGCAUCUAAGCACGAAACUUGCCCCGAGAUGAGUUCUCCCUGAGACUUAGAGUCUCCUGAAGGAACGUUGAAGACGACGACGUUGAUAGGCCGGGUGUGUAAGCGCAGCGAUGCGUUGAGCUAACCGGUACUAAUGAACCGUGAGGCUUAACCUUACAACGCCGAAG
rnacentral:rRNA from 2 species